UGGUGCAGAUUUGUAGUAAUCACGAACCUUUUUCUGGGAAAUAGGCUUGCCUUCUCAGCUAUGGAGAAUUCUUAAUGUUAAUAGAAAAUGCACCUUUGAAACUUUCAGAGAUUUUCUGUCUGAAAUAAUUCCCUGCUGCUCUUUUUCUUUUUCCUGCAAUGGCCGCUAAAUCGAUCGAGGAGGAGAAACCAUUCUUAUCGGGGAUGGGGGGUGGAAGCACCAAUGUACCAGUCAACAUUGCAUGUUUUGAGUUGAUUAAGCCAAGCUUUGAUGAGACCAACCAUCAUUGUUCUCUCGAUGUCUUGCCUAUUCUAAUAGAGGAGACUUCAUUUCCAGUAAGAGAAAAAUGCAGCUUAAACACUUCACAUGGCCAGGAUGUCUAUAGCAUUUCUGUGUUGCCAGAGGAAGGAAACACGAGUCCAAAAUGUACACCACAGUUCACUUUUUUGAGCCUCUUGGAAGUUCCUUUCCCAUCUAAAAACCAGAUGUGUUUGGAUGCAAAAUUGAGUUGCCGCAACUGCAUCGAUUUGAAAGUGGAUGGUGAAGAUGCUUAUUCAUCGUGCAUUCUGGAUAUAAACAUUGAGAAAGAGCUUCCUGACAUACUUACAUCCAGUGAUGAGAUUGUUGGAAAUUCUAAAACUGAAGGUGUACUGACAAAUUUGCAGAAGGUUUUGCAGAGACAGUCAAGCUUAAAUGUAGAAAAAUCAUUGACUGAGAGGGUUCAAGAAGCACCAAUGAAUAGAUGGAAAAGAUAUAAACGAGCUGCAUCAUUUGAUUCAAGGAAAAUAGUCUUCCUUUUCUCAAUCCUGUCAUGUUUGGGGACAUUGAUAUUGAUUUAUCUGACGCUGAGAGUUACGUCUAACUAUUGAUGUGUUCAAUCUACGUCAGUCAGGUUCAAAUUAUUUUUAAGAGCAAGUGUUGUUUUCAUAUGGUCUAAUAUUUGAUCAGGCGUUGCACACAGCUUUCUCCAACCAGACUCCCACUCCAACUUGGUUAAUACUUGAGGCAGAGUGUAUAGCCUUGGAGAGAAGUGUUGAGGUUGCGAACAAGCUGAACAUGCUGGGAAAGGUGACGUUCGAAACUGACAGUGCUGAGUUAGCAAACAAAUGGAAUAUGGAUGAUGGGGAUAUUACCAUUAUUGGCAGCAAAAUCAAAAAAUGCAAAGAAAUUUUUAAUUUGUUCAAUUCCGCCAGUUUAGCUUGAUCUUAUCGAUCCUGUAAUAGGGUGGCCGAUUUAAUUUGCACUAAAAUAUGUAGAGAAGUUAAGAAGUAAUUUUUUGAUAUGAAUUAUCCAAAAGACA